GCCAUCAUGGCUCAGUGGUUGAGCAUCAACCUAUGAACCAGGAGGUCAAGGUUCGAUUCCCUGUCAGGGCA
rnacentral:tRNA from 1 species